CGGCAGGCCUAAUACAUGCAAGCUCGAGGGAGUAAGUUUGGUGCUUGCACUGAACGGGAACCGGCGAACGGGUGCGUAACACGUAUGCAACCUACCUAUAACUGGGGGAUAGCCCGAAGAAAUUCGGAUUAAUACCCUAUAAUACUUAUUUACCGCAUGGUAGAUAUUUUAAAACUCCGGUGGUUAUAGAUGGGCAUGCGGCCUAUUAGUUAGUUGGUGAGGUAACGGCUCACCAAGACUACGAUAGGUAGGGGGUCUGAGAGGAUGAUCCCCCACACUGGUACUGAGACACGGACCAGACUCCUACGGGAGGCAGCAGUAGGGAAUAUUGGACAAUGGACGAAAGUCUGAUCCAGCCAUGCCGCGUGCAGGAAGACUGCCCUAUGGGUUGUAAACUGCUUUUAUAUAGGAAGAAACCUCUCUACGUGUAGAGAGCUGACGGUACUAUACGAAUAAGGACCGGCUAACUCCGUGCCAGCAGCC
rnacentral:rRNA from 1 species